rnacentral:rRNA from 1 species
AACGGCCAUACCAUGCUCAAUAUACCGGUUCUCGUUAGAUCACCGAAGUCAAGCAUCACGCGGUCAGUGCUUGGGUGGGUGACCACCUGGGAACACGGCGGGCCGU